rnacentral:rRNA from 1 species
UACGUAGGAUCCGAGCAUUAUCCGGAGUGACUGGGUGUAAAGAGUUGCGUAGGUGGCAUAGUAAGUAGCUAGUGAAAUCUGGUGGCUCAACCAUUCAGACUAUUAGCUAAACUGCUAAGCUCGAGACCGUUAGGGGUAACUGGAAUUUCUAGUGUAGGAGUGAAAUCCGUAGAUAUUAGAAGGAACACCGAUAGCGUAGGCGGGUUACUGGGACGGUUCUGACACUAAGGCACGAAAGCGUGAGGGAGCAAACGGG